rnacentral:tRNA from 1 species
AGGUGUUUAACUCAGUUGGUAGAGUGUUGUGUUUACACCACGAAAGUCGAAAGUUCAAUUCUUUCAGCACCUA